rnacentral:rRNA from 1 species
AUUGAACGCUGGCGGCAGGCCUAACACAUGCAAGUCGAGCGUGCGGCGGACGGGUGAGUAAUGUAUGGGGACUGCCCGAUAGCGGGGGAUAACUACUGGAAACGGUUGCUAAUCCCGCAUACUAUCGGAUCCCGCAUAGGGGAUUAGCUGGUCGGUGAGGUAAUGGAUCACCAAGGCGACGAUCCCUAGCUGGUCUGAGAGGAUGAUCAGCCACACUGGGACUGAGACACGGCCCAGACUCCUACGGAGGCAGCAGUGGGGAAUAUUGCGCAAUGGGCGCAAGCCUGACGGAGCCAUGCCGCGUGUGUGAAGAAGGCCCUAGGGUUGUAAAGUACUGUCAGUCGGGAGGCGGUACCGACAGAAGAAGCACCGGCUAACUCCGUGCCAGCAGCCGCGGUAAUUC